GUGGGGAAUAUUGGACAAUGGGCGGAAGCCUGAUCCAGCCAUGCCGCGUGUGUGAAGAAGGUCUUCGGAUUGUAAAGCACUUUAAGUUGGGAGGAGGGGCAGUAAGUUAAUACCUUGCUGUUUUGACGUUACCGACAGAAUAAGCACCGGCUAACUUCGUGCCAGCAGCCGCGGUAAUACGAAGGGUGCAAGCGUUAAUCGGAAUUACUGGGCGUAAAGCGCGCGUAGGUGGUUUUGUAAGUUGGAGGUGAAAUCCCCGGGCUCAACCUGGGAACUGCCUCCAAAACUGCAUGACUAGAGUACGGUAGAGGGUAGUGGAAUUUCCUGUGUAGCGGUGAAAUGCGUAGAUAUAGGAAGGAACACCAGUGGCGAAGGCGACUACCUGGACUGAUACUGACACUGAGGUGCGAAAGCGUGGGGAGCAAACAGGAUUAGAAACCCCGGUAGUCC
rnacentral:rRNA from 1 species